GGGGGAUUAGCUCAGCUGGGAGAGCGCGGCGUUCGCAAUGCCGAGGUCAGCGGUUCGAUCCCGCUAUCCUCCACCA
rnacentral:tRNA from 7 species